rnacentral:rRNA from 1 species
AUGGCAUUGCAAGAUGAACAGAGGGACAAUCAAAUUGCUAAGAUGUACCAAGACUUGUAUGAUCAGAAUGCGAAAGAUGAGCAGGUUGCAAGGGCUGCUGAAGUUGUAAAUGUCGGGGGGCCAAUUGAUGAUGUUAGUACGGAACUAAGCCAAGCAUGUGAGCAGGUUCCAUUCCCUACUCCAGUUGUAAAUGUUGGAGGGGCAGUUCAUAAUGUUAGUAGUGAAUCAAGCCCAGAAAGUGCUGGCCAGCAAGAGGGUGGUUCAGCUAAUUUGGAUGAAAGUAACAAUGGUCGGAGGUUGCAACUUGGCAGCUAG